rnacentral:rRNA from 1 species
UGGGGAAUAUUGGACAAUGGGCGAAAGCCUGAUCCAGCGACGCCGCGUGUCGGAAGGAGUCCUUCGGGAUGUAAACGACUUUUGGUGGAGACGAAUAAGCAGCUCAGGGAAUGGGGCUGUGAUGACGGUAUCCAUGGAAUAAGCCCCGGCUAACUACGUGCCAGCAGCCGCGGUAAGACGUAGGGGGCAAGCGUUACCCGGAAUUACUGGGCGUAAAGGGAGCGUAGGCGGGAGGUCAAGUCCGGUGUGAAAGACCCUGGCCCAACCAGGGAUGAGGGCUGGAAACUGACAAUCUUGAGUACAGCAGAGGAAGAGGGAAUUACCGGUGUAGGGGUGAAAUCCGUAGAGACCGGUAAGAAGGCCAGUGGCGAAGGCGCUUUUCUGGGCUGUUACUGACGCUGAGGCUCGAAAGCCAGGGGAGCAAACCG